GACUGCGUAGCUCAGUUGCAAGAGCAUUGGGCUAGUAUUCCAAAGGUCGUAGGUUCGAAUCCCACCGUGGCCG
rnacentral:tRNA from 1 species